CCUACGGGCGGCAGCAGUGAGGAAUAUUGGUCAAUGGGCGGAAGGCUGAACCAGCCAAGUCGCGUGAAGGAUGAAGGCGCCAAGGAUUGUAAACUUCUUUUGUAAAGGGAUAAAAUGAGGCACGUGUGCCUGUUUGUAUGUACUUUAUGAAUAAGGAUCGGCUAACUCCGUGCCAGCAGCCGCGGUAAUACGGAGGAUCCGAGCGUUAUCCGGAUUUAUUGGGUUUAAAGGGAGCGUAGAUGGGUUGUUAAGUCAGUUGUGAAAGUUUGGGGCUCAACCGUAAAAUUGCAAUUGAUACUGGCAGCCUUGAGUACAGGUGAGGUAGGCGGAAUUCGUGGUGUAGCGGUGAAAUGCUUAGAUAUCACGAAGAACUCCGAUUGCGAAGGCAGCCUACUAAACUGCCACUGACAUUGAUGCUCGAAAGUGUGGGUAUCAAACAGGAUUAGAUACCCCAGUAGUC
rnacentral:rRNA from 1 species